GACACACCCACAGGGAAAGCACCAUGAGAAGAUGACGGCAGAGAUCUGGGCGACGCGUCUACAAGCCAAGCGACACCAAAGGUGGCCAGCAGCCCAUGUGAAGCUGGAGGAGAGGCCUCGAAUAAAUGCUCCCUUACAGCGUUCAGGGGGAACUGACCCUGUCCACACCUUGACCUUGAACUUCUGGGCUCCAGAACUGUGAGACAGCAUGUUCUGUUGUUGAAGGAGCAGCGUGGCUAGAGGAAUUCCUGCAGCUUAGAUUUCGCUGGCACUGUUACCACUCCCAGAGAGGAGCGGCUGGAGUUCACGGCUGGUUCCUGACAAACUUCCUAAUUAAUCUGCUAAAGAUCAGAGGAGGACUAAUAGGAGCUGAAGACUGUGUGCGAGACCACCCCUCCGCCCUCUCCCUUUGUGUGUGCACGUGUGUGUGUGUGUGUGUGUGAGCGCGUGCGCGCAUGUGGUGCUGAGCUUGGCGGGAGAGAGAUGGCCUCACCAGCGACAAAGCAUUCCUGCUGCUGUUGCUGCCACCUACCUUCCCUGCUUUGGGAGGAUACAUUUUCUCCUCUUGCUUAGAAGUUUCAGGGAGUCACCCAAGCCUUCUUCUCCCAGAUACAACGGUGGAAUAAAAUAUCUUCCAGCCAACAUAUUUUUUGGAGACGGAAUCUCACUCUGUCACCUGGUUGAAGUGCAGCAGCGCGAUCAUGGCUCACUGCAACCUCUGCCUCCCGGUUUCAAGUGAUUCUCCUGCCUCCGCCUCCCGAGUAGCUGGGAUUACAGGCAUGUGCCACCCACCACGCCUGGGUAAUUUUUGUAUUUUUACUAGAGACAGGGUUUCACUAUGUGGGCUGGGCUGGUCUCAAACUCCUGACCUCUGGUGAUCUGCCCACUUCGGCCUCUCAAAGUGCUGGGAUUACAGGCAUGAGCCCCCGCACCCGGUUGCAACCAACUUUUUUGUGGAAUAUAGGAUCUUGAUGUUUGGAUGCCUGAAGGCAGAAGCUGUUGCACAUGGAAUGGAUUAAAGUUUUCCCCUCUGCAACCAAAAAUCCUUGGGGUCCCAGGAGCAAAAGAUGCUCCAUGGCACAGGACAAUUCAAGAAGGCCCGAGGUGAUAUUGAAGACUGCAGAGACAUCCAGCUCAGUUGUGUCUCCGGAGGUGUCCAGACUUUGCAGACAGACGUUGCACAUAAAGAGCUGAAAAACUGAGGAAGCUGAGCUGGAGAAGGAAGUCACUUCUACUCAGACUUGACCUGCGUCUGAUGCUAUGGGGCCUCUUAGGGUUACCUCAUGCUUCAUGCACCCCUUUCUCUGUUCUUCAGCAGAAGGCAGGGUGUAGGGAAGCGGGACUGUGCCUCCUUUCUCCCUGCCAGGCCUGACUCUCCAGGCCAAGAGACACCAUUAAGGAGUAUAAUUUGUUGAUCCAGGCUCUCCUUGCGUUUCAGUGCAGAGUGGCAUCGUUUUCUUUAUGACCUCGUAAAGUCACAGCCGAGAGGCCGAUUUGGAAAACAAACUGCCUCAGGUUGACAGAUAAUUAGAUACAGGGGACAUAUUAUAUGCCUUUGCAUAUAAAUGUGCUCCGAGGCGUGUUGGUUCAUCUGAAGUUGAGGUUAAAGGCGCGCCAGGUAUUCCUGACACAUCAGGAUAUAUAUUUUCAUACAGUCUCAGGUGCUGUGUUGGUUUUAUAGGCCUUUCAUCCUGGUGCUGACGGAUGGGGUGUGAUUGUGACCCAACUUAGAAGAAAGGGACUUCCCUUGCCCAGGGGCCUCCUGGCGUUUUUGUUUUGUGUUCUCCCUCUCCACCCCCACUUUCUCUUCUUCCUUGGGAAGGGAACUGUUCUUUGGACCUAGGAUUCUGCCGUGAGUGACUAAUGGCCUGAGUAGGAGGGACCGGGACUCAUUUUUCUUUUCUGGACUCUAAUAGGCCCAAUUAAUUCAGCUACAACAUGGGCCCUUACAAGCCUGGGACAAGCCUGGGUGGAAUUCUAUAUUGAGGGUAAGAAAAGGGAUGGAAGUAGAUGUUUUCCAGAAGGUUCUGUGGACUCUGGGGGUGACCUGUGGACAGCUGCUGCUGCCCACUACCUGGCAGUUUGGCUAUGUGAUACAUGUCAGCCUUACAAGGAGAUCCCCCUUACCCUGGAAUCUACUUUGGGGGAGCAGAACUUGAGCCUCAGGCAAAUCAGAGACGAGGGGGAAACUUUGCUUUUUCCUCCAGUGGCAGGGAGCUCUGGGCUGGGGAAAUGUCUUUUUGAACACAAAGUUCCAGUUGCAUUCAUCCACAGGAAAAUGUAAAGAGCUUAAUUUAAUGCCCUCUGGGAGUCAUUUCGAUUUAAAAGUGGUAUUAUAGCUUGUGGCUAGAAGAAUGGGCUUAACGGUUAGUCACCUUCUGUUUGGGCAUGUCAUUUAAUCUCUUUGAGGCUGUUUCUUCAUCUUAAAAUAUGAGUGAGAAGGUAGUACCCACCUUACAAUGUGGACAAGAUUAAUUUAGGGAAAACACGUAGCACAGGGCUUCACCCAUGGUAAGUAUUUCAUAAACGGUAACUAUUUUUAACAAUGACAAUUCACAGAGUUAAUCCUAAUAAAAAAUGAUUACAGAAGAGGACGCCUCCACCCACAGGAAGGAGCCAGCACGGUGGGGAGCUGUUUCACCAGGGGAGUGUUCUCAGCAGCUGCCACACGUGGAGUUGUGGAGGUAGCAAGCAGAGUUGGGGGAGGAGGGGGAGCCCUGGUUCCUGCUCUUCCAUGAUCAGUGUGCAGCCUUGAGCAUGGCACUCCCUCUCUUCCCAGCUUAGUGUCCUCAUCCGUAAAAUGAGGGGCUCUCUGAGAGUCUGCCAGGGCCGCUGUCUGAUCUGUGACAGCGUGGCAUGUGGUGUGGUAUGUAAUGCACGUUCCUGCCUGCAGGGAGGCCCUCUCCCUUCCCCCACCAGGCUUCUGGGCAGCACUUGCUGUCAUCCUUGCUUCUGGAACAGGACUGUGCUGUUUUCCAGGCCAAAUUGGAGGGCUGAGGGGGUCUAUUAAGAAGACUCUGGGGAGAUGGUGGAACAAUUCUGUGCUUGAAAUUACCUUCCUCUUUAAAUCUUGCCAUGGCCCUAUUAGAAAAGCUAAGGGGGCAGGAGGAGAGGAGCGGGCAGGGAGAGGAGAGAGAGAGAGAAGAAGGAAGAAGGAAAGGGAAAGGUAAGAAACCCCAUAGCCCGACCCUCAGCCCUGUUGAAGGAGAUUAUAUAAAUAGAGUCGCUGUCACUUUGAUGAAUUAAAUCCUCCGUUAAUUAGGACGCAUCCAUUUAAGGGUUGUCCAGCCAGAUAGUCCUUUUCCCUUCCCAGCAAGUCAUAGCUCAGGGAGGAGGCAUGAGAGGGAUCGUUUUCUGUUUCUGGCUUGAUUGCUGGUUUCUUUCUUACUAGGCUUCAUUAAUUAUCCUGGAAUGUGGUCACCCAGUUUUCUUCAACAUGGGCCAUUCUCCUUUUAGCAGGAUCUUGGCAGUGGACUGCCACGGGAGCUCUGGGGAAAAAGGACCAGUUGGACUCCAGUACCUCCUGAGAGACCACCACCCUCCAUGCCUCCAGCUCAUGCCCAGCUCUGAGUCAGACGGACUCUUCCUGUUGUACUGCGAGGUUCUGCAAACCUUGAAGGGCAAACACAGUGAGGGUCUCUGACUUGCUGUGUGGACAGCCCACUCUCUGACAGCCCAGAUCAUCUGAAGCUAUCCCUGGGCUGGGAGCUGGAAGCCAUUCUUGUGAACCACUCCUUAUACCUUGAGCGAAGCCUCUUUGGGUCCCAGAAGUCUGAAGCUCCAGCUGCCUGGCAAGACUGAGUCUAGAUGAUUUCUUGGGUACCAGUAGUUUGGCAUUUAAAAAUACUGGAUUAACUGCAGUGUAAACUUAGAUUGCAUUUCAGAUUGUAAACAAUAACCCCCGUGCUUCAUGUGAUGUUAAAUCAGAAAUGAGCUAUUAGCCAAGCUAGUCCUCUUAUGAAUGAGCCCCUAACCCUGAUCCAGGGAUCGUUGAAUGAAAAUCAUCAAAAUGAUUUAUCUUCACUUUACCUAUUGUCUCACAAGAAUCUCAUCACUCAGGGAAAAGGAGGGUGUUCUUCAGGGAACGGAGGGCAUGAGGAAGGGGGAUUUCCUUAUAUCUCAACUUUCAGAGGGAGCUGAGUUGUAAACAGAUGGAACAAGGUGUGUACGAGAAGCCUCUUAGAUUUAGUCUUUCAUAUCAAGGCUCUUGCUGAAAAUCCUGGCACAGCUGUGAAAUGAGGGGAGCUCUGACACACAGAGACACGCUCCUUGCCUCACCAACCUUCCCAUACACAGUCAUGCGCACAGAGAGCAGGUACCAAUACUGAAAAUGCCCUUCCGGAGUUUCCUCAGCUUAAACCCUUGACAGCAUUAAGUGAGGAAGGAGUUUCCUUGACCUGGGGAAGAAGAACCAACUCAUAAACAUGGAACUGUGCCCACUGCCUUUUCCUUUGCUCUGUGGAUUGGCUGUGGUUCUGCCCUGGCACUCGGAUGUCAAGUUGCUCUGGCUGUUUGGGAGGAAGCCCAGCCUGGGUCAGGUGGUCAUAAGCCAGAGGCCCUGUCCUGUCCCCAGGGUUGGCCUCCCUCUGGGGUCCAGCAUGGCCCCAGUGCUGAGGCUCCCACUGCUGGGGAAUGUGCCCUCUCCUCUCUUUGUUUCCAUACCAAGGGGAUCUGCAGGGUAGAGGGCAAAUUAUUCUUAGCAGAUUGGGGCUAUGGGUAAACCAGAAGGGAUGAGGGAGAGAGGAGAGAGGAGAGGAAAGGGAAGGAGAGGGGAGGGCAGGGGAUA
ensembl:lncRNA novel transcript